GUGAGGAAUAUUGGUCAAUGGGCGGGAGCCUGAACCAGCCAAGUCGCGUGAAGGAAGAAGGAUCUAUGGUUCGUAAACUUCUUUUGCAGGGGAAUAAAGUGCAGGACGUGUCCUGUUUUGUAUGUACCCUGAGAAUAAGGAUCGGCUAACUCCGUGCCAGCAGCCGCGGUAAUACGGAGGAUCCGAGCGUUAUCCGGAUUUAUUGGGUUUAAAGGGUGCGUAGGUGGUUUGAUAAGUCAGCGGUGAAAGUUUGCAGCUUAACUGUAAAAAUGCCGUUGAAACUGUCGGACUUGAGUGUAAAUGAGGUAGGCGGAAUGCGUGGUGUAGCGGUGAAAUGCAUAGAUAUCACGCAGAACUCCGAUUGCGAAGGCAGCUUACUAAGCUACAACUGACACUGAAGCACGAAAGCGUGGGGAUCAAACAGGAUUAGAUACCCCAGUAGUCC
rnacentral:rRNA from 1 species